CGGCGUCUUCCAGAAGAACUCAGAGACUUUCAAACCCUCUGCAUUUGUUUUCUUGGGUAAGAAAACAACAACUGCUCCAAUGGCUGUCUUGAGGACUUCGAGGAAAAGAAUUUCAGCUGUAGAGAGGUGACCUUAGGAAUUGCCAUUAAUUAACACUUCCACAUGUAAAUUAGCACCUCUAUCAUGGGCAUGCAGAGCAGCCGCUGUUCCACGAGAAAUGGGGGCACUCAAGUCACCAACAGCUCUGUCCAAAUGUGAGCAGCUCCUUCCUACAUCUUCUGCCAGGCCAAGCACGUGGAUGUGCACAUAUCCACCUCUGAGAGAAAGGAAAAUAUUCCUGAGGAUGUUAAAGGCAAAUGUCACUGUUACAUGGCAAGAGGACUGGC